rnacentral:lncRNA from 1 species
AAUGCACAAUACAACAAGCAUCCUAUUUAAAAGUGCUCCCUAUCCAGGAGCUUUGUUUUUUAAACUCUAAUACAAUCAUUCACAAAACCAAUUCGAAAACCUUUUAAAACUGUUUUCCACACGAAAACUCUAUUUUGAAAAUCAACUACCAUGAGGGGUAGAAAACCAUGAUGCGUAAAUCUGUAUAAAUACACAAGUCUGAGAACUAAAUAUCCAUAUAUCAACAAAAUCUCUAAUCAUGCAUAUCGAAAAUCACAAAUAUUCAAACAUCUAACUAAACCAUUUAUUAUUAACAACUACUAAAUGCGGGAAGAAAUAUAACCAGGGUGACGAUCGCUACUGCCGUCUAGCUAGAACGUCCUUCCGUCGAGCCCAAAAUCCAACUCCUUGCCCGAAUCACCCGAAGAAAUGGGGGGUGAGAAACUGCAAUCAAGGUUUUCCAGUGGGUACGAUAGAGCCACGAAGGUAAGCUGUAAUCACCGAAAAUCAAAGGAGAUAUGGUAAACGAAUAUAUAUGCUGAUAUAAAAUAGAACUACAGUAGUUAUAACAGGUAUGAAAGAAGCAAGAAAUAAAACUGCUACUGUAUAGAAAACAGUGCAAAUAUGCCUCAAUGUAAUCAAACAGAAACUGUACCCAAUCUAGUGCCUGCUAUAUCGGUCCGCAGACCUCAAGCGCUGCCUGUCACUAUCUGCACCGACCUGAUCCAUUCUGCCCACAGGACGACCCAUCCGGAUAAGUAUACCUCCAAUCGGU